UUCAUGUAAAAAAGGUGCCCAACAAACGAUACACAAAACCAAUGUUGCAUUUAUUUGGAGUAAAUUGUCGCAAUCCCACUACAACCGCAACAAAUGUAACAAAAAUCCUAAGUACUGAACUGAAAAUGUAAUAAUUACGUGUCAUUGUAUAAUUGAUGAGCAUCUCUCCAUUAUCCAGAUGGCAAUAACUGACAAGCCUUAGAAGCAAUCGAUGCAAUUGUGUUUUUCCAUAUUCAAAUGGUCAGGAGUCAAAAUAUUACAUCAGUGUAACUUCAUUGUAUGUGACAUAACAUAAGGCUUAGAAGAUGCUUUUACCAUAGAUUAUCGAAGUAGCAAUAACUGACAAAAUAUGCAGCUUACACUUAGGAUUCCAUCAUGUAACCUCUCCUGUUGUGUUUAUUCAUAUUCAAAUGAGGCCAACAUCAAAAUAUUAGAUAUCAGCAGCAAGCAAAUUGAGGUCAACAUUGAAUAUUUGUCACAAGCAACACCUACAAAACUCUGCAAACAAAGUUUAGCAGAAUUUAUUAUAACUCAAAUGUGAAACAGUGAUCAGAACAAGACCAAAUUAUAUGUAAAAAUUAAUUUUGUAAUAUAUGUUUAUAUAUGUUUUAAUAAUU